CCUGAGAAACCCAAAAGAUCGAAUGGGGAGAUUCAUCGUCAGCGCCGUUGGCUCACGUGCGGACUGCGAUGCGACGGGCCUCGGCUCGUUGCACGCGUUCGCUGCGUUGUGUCCGGUGGCGUCGGCGUGCACUUCUCCCCUAGUAGGACGUCGCGACCCGUUGGGUGCCGGCCUACGGCUCGGAUGCUCGCCUGUCGCGUCGCGUGCAAGCGCGUUCGCGGCAGAGCUUCGAUUGCCCGGUUGGCUGCCCGGCGGUAUAGAUCUUAGCAUUAUACGGUAUUGAGCCGCACAAAGUGCGUUCUGGCUCGGCGGCAGGCUUGCCUCGCUCGAAUUUACGGACCUGGUGCCGUUGUCGGGUGCUUGGUCGGGCCGCUAGUCGUCGAUGUCCUCGGACCGGCUCUAAUAUUCGAACGGAUAUACCGGUCGGCGACGCUACUGCUUUGGGUACUUUCAGGAC
rnacentral:rRNA from 1 species